rnacentral:rRNA from 1 species
AUUGAACGCUGGCGGCAGGCCUAACACAUGCAAGUCGAGCGGGGUUUUCGGACCUAGCGGCGGACGGGUGAGUAAUGCGUAGGAAGCUACCCGAUAGAGGGGGAUACCAGUUGGAAACGACUGUUAAUACCGCAUAAUGUCUACGGACCAAAGUGUGGGACCUUCGGGCCACAUGCUAUCGGAUGCGCCUACGUGGGAUUAGCUAGUCGGUGAGGUAAUGGCUCACCAAGUCGACGAUCCCUAGCUGGUUUGAGAGGAUGAUCAGCCACAUUGGAACUGAGACACGGUCCAGACUCCGACGGGAGGCAGCAGUAGGGAAUAUUGGACAAUGGGCGCAAUCCUGAUCCAGCCAUGCCGCGUGUGUGAAGAAGGCCUUCGGGUUGUAAAGCACUUUCAGUAGGGAGGAAGCGUUGAGUGUUAAUAGUACUCAGCGUUGACGUUACCUACAGAAGAAGCACCGGCUAACUCUGUGCCAGCAGCCGCCGUAACAC